rnacentral:rRNA from 1 species
AACGAACGCUGGCGGCGUGGAUAAGACAUGCAAGUCGGACGCUGAUUGCCGGGUAGCAAUAUUCGGCGGUCGGAGUGGCGAAAGGGUGCGUAACACGUGGGCAAUCUGCCGUGAAGUCGGGGAUAACUUGCUGAAAGGCGAGCUAAUACCGGAUGUGGUUUUGGGAGGGCAUCUUUCUGGAACCAAAGUUGGGGACCGCAAGGCCUGACGCUUCAUGAUGAGCCCGCGGCCUAUCAGCUAGUUGGUGAGGUAAUGGCUCACCAAGGCAAAGACGGGUAGCUGGUCUGAGAGGACGACCAGCCACACUGGAACUGAGACACGGUCCAGACACCUACGGGUGGCAGCAGUCGAGAAUUUUUCACAAUGGGCGAAAGCCUGAUGGAGCGACGCCGCGUGGGGGAUGAAUGGCUUCGGCCCGUAACCCCCUGUCAUUUGCGAACAAACCUUUCCACCCAACCACGUGGAGAGCUGAUUGUAGCGAAAGAGGAAGGGACGG